rnacentral:SRP_RNA from 1 species
AGAUUGGGCUAGACUGGAGGGUCAGGGGUCCUCUGUAAGCGCACAUCCCCUAUACGGCGCGGUCGAAGUUCAAGAGGCGGCAGAUUAACUGGUUGCUGGCCCGGAAUUUCAAUGUAGAAACCUCGUCCCACAGGAUCAGUGGUGGCCGGGUUUUGACUGGAGGGUCAAAAUCAACGUUCUUAACCAGGGGAACGGGUCAGGCCUGGAAAGGAGCAGCUCUACCUUGGACAGCUGAUGCUUGUGGAGCAACGGGGCGGAGUUGAAUUUCUGGAUCACCAGCUUCUGGAAGACCUGUCCACUCUUGAACACGCCCAUCA